AUGGGAGCUUGCUCCCUGAUGUUAGCGGCGGACGGGUGAGUAACACGUGGGUAACCUGCCUGUAAGACUGGGAUAACUCCGGGAAACCGGGGCUAAUACCGGAUGGUUGUUUGAACCGCAUGGUUCAGACAUAAAAGGUGGCUUCGGCUACCACUUACAGAUGGACCCGCGGCGCAUUAGCUAGUUGGUGAGGUAACGGCUCACCAAGGCGACGAUGCGUAGCCGACCUGAGAGGGUGAUCGGCCACACUGGGACUGAGACACG
rnacentral:rRNA from 1 species